rnacentral:tRNA from 1 species
GGGGGUGUAGGUCAGUGGCAGAGCACCCAUUUCAUACAUGGGAGGUCCUGGGUCCGAUCCUCAGCAUCUCCA